UACGGGGGGGGCAAGCGUUGUUCGGAAUUACUGGGCGUAAAGGGCUCGUAGGCGGCCAUCUAAGUCAGACGUGAAAUCCCUCGGCUUAACCGGGGAACUGCGUCUGAUACUGGAUGGCUCGAGAUUGGGAGAGGGAUGCGGAAUUCCAGGUGUAGCGGUGAAAUGGGUAGAUAUCUGGAGGAACACCGGUGGCGAAGGCGGCAUCCUGGACCAACACUGACGCUGAGGAGCGAAAGCCAGGGGAGCAAACGGG
rnacentral:rRNA from 1 species